rnacentral:lncRNA from 1 species
AACAGUGUAUAAUGAAGAGGAUCAUGAUAAUAGCAAAUCCCUGCCAAAACUUCCUACUCCUUGCUUGCCUUAUUCUCUUCAUUUAUAAAGAGACUGAGCUGAUACUUUUCAUUUAUAAAAAGAUAGUAGUGUAAUACGGCACAUACAGAGCAUGUACUCAUCUCUUUAUUUCCUGCAACUGAAACUGCUUACAAGCAGAUACAUUUUGCAAUAAGUGGACAUAUUUAAUGUGUAUUGAAUAGAACAAAAAUUCAAAAAAUAAAAAUCAAACAACCACCAACCAAACCAAACAUAUCAACUCCAAUAGACACAAGAAGAUCAGAAUUGGUCCGAGCACAUUUGUCAGCUGUUCGUGGUUUAAGGGCAGUGGGUGAUAUUUCAGGAAGCAGAAAGAGCUUGGUUGCAGUUGCAGUUCCUCAACAGCACUUUUUUGCAAAGUCAGUGAGUUGUGCAGAGCGACACAAGUCUCCUGCUAUCCUGAUGGAGAGUCCACAGAACAAGAUCUACAAGAACCCAAGACAACAUGACUAACUUGAGGAAGCAGAGGACUUGAUUUAAGGAUAUCUGGCAUUGCCACAGAGGCUUCAGCUUUUCAGCUGUAGCAUGGGGAGAAUGAUACGUAUGCCUUUUAACAGAGCUUUGAGAUCAACUGAAGAAAGGUACUAGGUAAGAGCUAAGUAUUAUUGUUAUUAUCACUUUUUAAUAUUAACUCAAUACCUCUUCUACUGUUAGCCACUGUUAGAAUUGCAAAAUGCAAAAAUAUGGUCUCCAACACACAGCAGCCUGUUGUGAAGUACCACAGAACAGUAUGUCCGUUGUGUUUUUUAACAAAAUGUGAAGCAAUAGGAUGUAGUCAGUUAAAAUGUUCUUAUGUAAGACUAUAUCUAAAUGUUGAAUGUUAAUACCCUUGCUUUCAGAAGUAUUGUACUCAAAUAUACCUGUGUUCUGGCAGAAAUGAGUAAAGCCUGCAGGAGGGCAAAAUUCUCCUUGCACAGACUCAGAGAUUCAGUCCUGCAGUAAGUCAUCUAUUACUACAUGCACCACACUAUAACCACCACUCCCAAUGAGUCCUCAAUGCUGAUACAGCUAAUAUUUAUUUACUAAAAUCUCCUAGUUUCAUUUUGCCAGCACUGUACAGGUAUUGCAAUGUCACUGAGUCCCAAGAGAUCCAGAUGCCAAAUUACAGUCUUGGCAGAAAGCAGGGUGGAGACAAGGUGCUGGGCUAUAGCAUGCACUUUGUUUCACCGCUUUCACUUUGAUGUCUAGACUUUAACCAUAUCCACAGAUAUGGUUAAUCCACACUUUGUCAGGUGCAAUAUAGAUCAUAUUUUGCUCCUGUACUUCCGGAUUAUCAAAACAUUAUUUCAAACAAUCCCUUCUACCCUGGGCAAUAACUUUCCAAACAAGCAUCUCUGUGGUCUGUGAGGCUUACGUAUGUGUGUAGACUUGAUUAUUUUGGGCAGUAGAAUAUAGCUGCUCAGAAAUGGGAAGCUUUGAAGACUUCCAAAGUCUAAGAAAUUGCUGUAAAUUA